rnacentral:rRNA from 1 species
AACGAACGCUGGCGGCAUGCCUAACACAUGCAAGUCGAACGAGACCUUCGGGUCUAGUGGCGCACGGGUGCGUAACGCGUGGGAACCUGCCCUUAGGUUCGGAAUAACUCCCCGAAAGGGGUGCUAAUACCGGAUAAUGUCUUCGGACCAAAGAUUUAUCGCCUUUGGAUGGGCCCGCGUUGGAUUAGCUAGUUGGUAGGGUAAAAGCCUACCAAGGCGACGAUCUAUAGCUGGUCUGAGAGGAUGAUCAGCCACACUGGGACUGAGACACGGCCCAGACCCAUACGGGAGGAGGCAGGGGGGAAUAUUGAAAAAGGGGCAAAGGCCUAAUACAGCAAGGCCCGGGGAGUAAAGAAGCCGUUGGGGUUGAAAAGUUUUUUUACCAGGGAGAAAAAUAACAGAACGGGAAAAAUAAGCCCCGACAAACCCCGUC